rnacentral:rRNA from 1 species
UGGGGAAUAUUGCACAAUGGGCGCAAGCCUGAUGCAGCCAUGCCGCGUGUGUGAAGAAGGCCUUCGGGUUGUAAAGCACUUUCAGCGGGGAGGAAGGCGAUAAGGUUAAUAACCUUGUCGAUUGACGUUACCCGCAGAAGAAGCACCGGCUAACUCCGUGCCAGCAGCCGCGGUAAUACGGAGGGUGCAAGCGUUAAUCGGAAUUACUGGGCGUAAAGCGCACGCAGGCGGUCUUUCAAGUCGGAUGUGAAAUCCCCGGGCUCAACCUGGGAACUGCAUUCGAAACUUGCAGGCUAGAGUCUUUUAGAGGGGGGUAGAAUUCCAGGUGUAGCGGUGAAAUGCGUCGAGAUCUGGAGGAAUACCGGUGGCGAAGGCGGCCCCCUGGACAAAGACUGACGCUCAGGUGCGAAAGCGUGGGGAGCAAACAGG